CCCCCGCGGCCCACUUUCCCAACAAGGCGGAAGGGCGCGAGAAACCUUAGAAAUAUUAUACUUUAAUUUAAAGUGUAAGAGGGUUUAAACAACGACUCCGAUCUAGAGGCUGAUAUCUGUGAGAAAAGACCUACCUUUACUGACAAACAGCGACACACUCAGUCGACAGUUUUUGCACGUAAUAUAAGACGCAAACGAAUUGCUGUUUGUUUAAUAUCCAAAACUAACAACGAGAUAAAACCCCAUUCAAACUCCAAAAAGACACAUUCAUAAGAGUGUCUGUUAUCUGAAAACUCAUUUAUCAGCAUCUGUUGACAAUCCAUUGAGUGCCACUCCAGAUUUCAACACUGUGUUUGGUUUUACUCGAGACAGAAAUCUUGUAAUUGCCUCAGUAGCUGUUGUGCUUCUGGCGUCCACCCUAUCUACGGCUCCUGUUGAAGGUACGAGCUCU
rnacentral:lncRNA from 1 species